rnacentral:rRNA from 1 species
CCUACGGGAGGCAGCAGUGAGGAAUAUUGGUCAAUGGGCGGGAGCCUGAACCAGCGAAGUCGCGUGAGGGAAGACGGUCCUAUGGAUUGUAAACCUCUUUAGGCGGGGAGCAAAGCCGGGCACGCAUGCCCGGAGGGAGAGUACCCGCAGAAUAAGCAUCGGCUAACUCCGUGCCAGCAUCCGCGGUAAUACGGAGGAUGCGAGCGUUAUCCGGAAUUAUUGGGUUUAAAGGGUGCGUAGGCGGAUUUUUAAGUCAGUGGUAAAAUGCCCGGGCUCAACCCCGGCCGGCCGUUGAUACUGGGGAUCUUGAGUGAGAGAGAGGUAUGCGGAAUGCGAGGUGUAGCGGUGAAAUGCAUAGAUAUAACGCAGAACUCCGAUGGCGAAGGCAGCAUACCGGCGCCAGACUGACGCUGAGGGACGAAAGCGUGGGGAGCGAACAGGAUUAGAUACCCCUGUAGUC